GAUGAACGCUAGCGGCAGGCUUAAUACAUGCAAGUCGAGGGGCAGCAUGAUUGUAGCAAUACAAUUGAUGGCGACCGGCAAACGGGUGCGGAACACGUACACAACCUUCCAACAAGUGGGGGAUAGCCCAGAGAAAUUUGGAUUAAUACCCCGUAACAUAGCGAUGUGGCAUCACAUUGCUAUUAUAGAUUUUUCGCUUGUUGAUGGGUGUGCGGCUGAUUAGAUAGUUGGCGGGGUAACGGCCCACCAAGUCUACGAUCAGUAGCUGAUGUGAGAGCAUGAUCAGCCACACGGGCACUGAGACACGGGCCCGGCUCCUACGGGAGGCAGCAGUAAGGAAUAUUGGACAAUGGACGCAAGUUUGAUCCAGCCAUGCCGCGUGAAGGAUUAAGGUCCUCUGGAUUGUAAACUUCUUUUAUAAGGGACGAAAAAAGGCUUUUCUAAGUCGUCUGACGGUACCUUAUGAAUAAGCACCGGCUAACUCCGUGCCAGCCGCCGCGGUAAAAC
rnacentral:rRNA from 1 species